rnacentral:rRNA from 1 species
UACAGAGGGGGCAAGCGUUAUUCGGAAUUAUUGGGCAUAAAGGGCGCGUAGGCGGCCUGGCAAGUGACGGGUGAAAUCCCUCGGCUUAACCGAGGAACUGCCUGUCAGACUGCUGGGCUUGAGACCGGGAGAGGUGAGUGGAAUUCCCAGUGUAGCGGUGAAAUGCGUAGAGAUCGGGAGGAACACCAGAGGCGAAGGCGGCGACCUGGACAGUAACUGACACUCAACUACGAAAGCGUGGGGAGCAAACAGG